AGAGUUUGAUUCUGGCUCAGAACGAACGCUGGCGGCAGGCUUAACACAUGCAAGUCGACGCCCCGCAAGGGGAGUGGCAGACGGGUGAGUAACGCGUGGGAACGUGCCCUUCGCUUGGAAUAGCCCCGGGAAACUGGGAGUAAUACCGGAUACGCCGUAUUGGGAAAGAUUUAUCGCGAAGGAUCGGCCCGCGUUGGAUUAGCUAGUUGGAGGUGUAAUGGACCCCCAAGGCUAGAUCCAUAGCUGGUCUGAGAGGAUGAUCAGCCACACUGGGACUGAGACACGGCCCAGACCCUACGGGAGGCAGCAGUGGGGAAUCUUGGACAAUGGGCGCAAGCCUGAUCCAGCCAUGCGCGUGAGUGAAGAAGGCCUUAGGGUUGUAAAACUCUUUCGCCGGAGAAGAUAAUGACGUAUCCGGAGAAGAAGCCCCGGCUAACUUCGUGCCAGCAGCCGCGGUAA
rnacentral:rRNA from 1 species